AUUGAACGCUGGCGGCAGGCUUAACACAUGCAAGUCGAGCGGGGUGAUGGUGCUUGCACUAUCACUUAGCGGCGGACGGGUGAGUAAUGCUUAGGAAUCUGCCUAUUAGUGGGGGACAACAUCUCGAAAGGGAUGCUAAUACCGCAUACGUCCUACGGGAGAAAGCAGGGGAUCACUUGUGACCUUGCGCUAAUAGAUGAGCCUAAGUCGGAUUAGCUAGUUGGUGGGGUAAAGGCCUACCAAGGCGACGAUCUGUAGCGGGUCUGAGAGGAUGAUCCGCCACACUGGGACUGGGACACGGCCCAGAGUCCUUCGGGAGGCAGCAGUGGGGAAUAUUGGACAAUGGGGGGAACCCUGAUCCAGCCAUGCCGCGUGUGUGAAGAAGGCCUUAUGGUUGUAAAGCACUUUAAGCGAGGAGGAGGCUCUUUUGGUUAAUACCCAAGAUGAGUGGACGUUACUCGCAGAAUAAGCACCGGCUAACUCUGUGCCAGCAGCCGCAGUAACAC
rnacentral:rRNA from 1 species